rnacentral:lncRNA from 1 species
GCACUAACACCCAACCUGACAGCCCGGCGCUGCCGCUGGAAAGUAGCACACAGCACAAGCUGCAGCCUCUGGAGUCUAGAUGCUUUACAGCCUGAAGAGAGCUGUGCUCCCUAAUGGACACACACCGGGUUUUCAAGCAUCUGUUCAUCUUCUCCUGGUUGUCUGCGACUGAGCCCUUGUUCUGAGGAGUGCUGUGCUCUCCACUGAGCCCCAGAAGCGGCUCCUCCAAACUUGCUUCAUUGUGUCUGUGCCCGUUGCUCGGCGCUUGCAGGGUGAAAUGGAAGGCAGCGAGAGUGAUGGUGAUGAAAUGAUCAGCGAGAGGAACCUGAGCUGAAUUUUGGCAGGGUCGCACCAAGUGUGAAAGAACACUGCAGCACUCGAGGAGAGAAUUAACUCGUAGCUAUCAGACAGCUCGUGUCGCGAAGCGGAAAUUACAGCCAUUUAUGUGAUUUCAGGCUAAUUUCUGCCAGUACUUGUUCUGUGCUAAUGUAAGGUGUAGUACAGUUUCACUGGGUGUGCCACAUGUAAGUCAGGUGUUGAAAUGUGUGAAGAACUGCUUUAGGAACCAAACCACUCGUUUGCGACGUGAAGAGCAGCACAACCCGAGGUGUGUGCCUCAGAAUCAGGCCCCACAGCGAGUCCCAGGGCCAGCUCUGCUGUGGCACAGCCUGUGCCACUGCGACCCGCCUGCAGCCUGCCCACUACCAUCCUGCAGAAACCUGUGGUGAAUUCCUUGCAGAGCUGCCAAGGAGGGGCUGGGAAAUUAGCAUCAAGGUAUUUUCUGACUGUUUGCUUGAAAAGAUGCCGUGUCUUUGAUCAUUAGUUUGAAAUUCACUGGUAGCAGCUGUAACCAGUGUACUUCGCACAGCGAAACCCUGCAGUCUGUCACUGCGAUCACAUUUCUCCGCCUUCAUUUGCAAGUAAAGCACCAAAUCGGGGGGGUGCAGAGGGAAUUGGAGUGAGUGUGGCAUCUACGGGGCUGCUGGUAGCAGGUGGGAGUGAGCGGCCCUUGGAGGAACCCGGUGCUGCCCUGGCAGCACCUCUGUGCAGCACCCGUGUGCUCCCCCGGCUGGGCAGGGGCUGAAGGACA